CUUGAAUCACUUACACUAGAGUCUGUCUCAAAGCAAAGACUUUGAGGUCCUUUGACAGAUACUAGUACAUGCAAAGAGAGAUAAUCCUAUAUUUGGCAUUAAAAUAUGCACUCAUGUUCAUUUACUGCCCGCAGAGCACACAGCCUCACAUGUCAUUAACACAUGCUAACACACACAGGUGUAGCACAUACUGACAUAAACAGGCCCACUCUCACAAAUAUAUACUAACUAACACAGACAUAUUCACCCACUGAUACUGCCAUGCUGAGGCCUACAGGUGAUUUUUCAUCUUAUAGGAGCACUGAACUUGUUCAUUGCUUGAUAGACAG